UAUAUUUGCAACCUCAAUGAAAAAAAGUUCAUUGAACUGCAUAAAAAUCAUUUAAAUAAUAUUGGCAUG
rfam:Flavobacteriaceae bacterium CG2_30_31_66 cg2_3.0_scaffold_33_c, whole genome shotgun sequence.